UUGCCAGCCCGCUCAAGAAACUUAAAGGAAUUGACGGGGCCCGCACAAGCGGAGGAACAUGUGGUUUAAUUCGAUGAUACGCGAGGAACCUUACCCGGGCUUGAAAUGCAUCUGACCGGCCUUGAAAGAGGUUUUCCCUUCGGGGCAGAUGUGUAGGUGCUGCAUGGUUGUCGUCAGCUCGUGCCGUGAGGUGUCGGCUUAAGUGCCAUAACGAGCGCAACCCUCAUCAUUAGUUACCAUCAGGUAAGGCUGGGGACUCUAAUGAGACUGCCAUCGUAAGAUGUGAGGAAGGUGGGGAUGACGUCAAAUCAGCACGGCCCUUACGUCCGGGGCGACACACGUGUUACAAUGGGUGGUACAAAGGGCAGCUACCUGGCGACAGGAUGCUAAUCUCCAAAACCACUCUCAGUUCGGAUCGGAGUCUGCAACUCGACUCCGUGAAGCUGGAUUCGCUAGUAAUCGCGCAUCAGCCACGGCGCGGUGAAUACGUUCCCGGGCCUU
rnacentral:rRNA from 1 species